rnacentral:tRNA from 1 species
GAGGGUAUAGGUCAGUGGUAGAGCGCAUGCUUAGAAUGCACGAGGUCCUGGGUUCAAUACCCAGUACAUGCA